rnacentral:rRNA from 1 species
GACGAACGCUGGCGGCGUGCCUAAUACAUGCAAGUAGAACGCACAGGAUGCACCGUAGUUUACUACACCGUAUUCUGUGAGUUGCGAACGGGUGAGUAACGCGUAGGUAACCUGCCUGGUAGCGGGGGAUAACUAUUGGAAACGAUAGCUAAUACCGCAUAAGAACAUUUACUGCAUGGUAGAUGUUUAAAAGGUGCAAAUGCAUCACUACCAGAUGGACCUGCGUUGUAUUAGCUAGUAGGUGAGGUAACGGCUCACCUAGGCGACGAUACAUAGCCGACCUGAGAGGGUGAUCGGCCACACUGGGACUGAGACACGGCCCAGACUCCUACGGGAGGCAGCAGUAGGGAAUCUUCGGCAAUGGGGGGAACCCUGACCGAGCAACGCCGCGUGAGUGAAGAAGGUUUUCGGAUCGUAAAGCUCUGUUGUUAAGGAAGAACGAGUGUGAGAAUGGAAAGUUCAUACUGUGACGGUACUUAACCAGAAAGGACGGCU